AAGGUUCAGAGACUUGACGGGGGUGGGCCCGAGUUGUAAUUUGUAGAGGAUGCUUCUGGCGAGGUGCCUUCCGAGUUCCCUGGAACGGGACGCCAUAGAGGGUGAGAGCCCCGUCUGGCUGGACGCCGAGCCUCUGUGAAGCUCCUUCGACGAGUCGAGUAGUUUGGGAAUGCUGCUCUAAAUGGGAGGUAUAUGUCUUCUAAAGCUAAAUACCGGCCAGAGACCGAUAGCGCACAAGUAAGGGUU
rnacentral:ncRNA from 1 species